AAUUCUUUGUGGGUUCAAUGUUCUUGAGAACUUGGUGUAUAAGUUUAUUUUGUUUUUGUUCAAAUUCAAAUUUAUUUACCAGACAAUAUGCUGAAAGGUUUGCUGGGCUAAAAGCUGUGAAAAUGGCUUGACUGCUUUCUAAAGAAAAGACACUGUCUCACUAAUUGCUGUGGAGUGUCAAUGAAGAGCAGUUGAGGGGAGACGCUGCCAUCCACUUCCUCAAGUCCAGGCGGAGAACUGAGCGGAGGAACCUUCUAGAAUAAGACUACUCUCGCUAUAUAUACUUUUUUCUGUCACUGUCAUUAAAAAGAUUUUAGUCUGC